rnacentral:tRNA from 1 species
UUCACGAUAGCUUAACAGGUUAAAGUUUUGUGCUUCGAACGCAAAGAUGCAAGUUCAAGUCUUGCUCGUGAAA